rnacentral:rRNA from 1 species
UCGAACGCGAAAGUCCCCUUCGGGGGGCAAGUAGAGUGGCGCACGGGUGAGUAACACGUAGGUAAUCUACCUUUGGAUGGGGAAUAACAACCGGAAACGGUUGCUAAUACCGCAUAAUGCAGCGGCACCUAAUGGUGACAGUUGUUAAAGCGGGGGAUCGCAAGACCUCGCGUCUGAAGAGGAGCCUGCGGCGGAUUAGCUAGUUGGUAAGGUAACGGCUUACCAAGGCUAUGAUCCGUAGCCGGCCUGAGAGGGCGGUCGGCCACACUGACACUGACAUACGGGUCAGACUCCUACGGGAGGCAGCAGUCGGGAAUUUUGGGCAAUGGGCGAAAGCCUGACCCAGCAACGCCGCGUGAAGGAUGAAAUCCUUCGGGAUGUAAACUUCGCAAGAACAGGAAGAAUAAGUGAGAGUUAAUAUCUCUUACGAUGACGGUACUGUUUGUAAGCUCCGGCUAACUCCGUGCCAGCAGCCGCGGUAAUACGGGGGGAGCAAGCGUUGUUCGGAUUUACUGGGCGUAAAGGGCGCGUAGGCGGCCACCGCAAGUCGACUGUGAAAUCUCCGGGCUUAACCCGGAAAGGUCAGCCGAUACUGCGGGGCUAGAGUGCAGAAGGGGCAACUGGAAUUCUCGGUGUAGCGGUGAAAUGCGUAGAUAUCGAGAGGAACACCUGCGGCGAAGGCGGGUUGCUGGGCUGACACUGACGCUGAUGCGCGAAAGCUAGGGGAGCGAACGGGAUUAGAUACCCGGGUAGUCCUAGCC